AAUGAACGCUGGCGGCAGGCCUAACACAUGCAAGUCGAACGGAUCCUUCGGGAUUAGUGGCGGACGGGUGAGUAACGCGUGGGAACAUACCCUUUGGUACGGAAUAGCCUCGGGAAACUGGGAGUAAUACCGUAUGUGGUCGAGAGACGAAAGAUUUAUCGCCAAAGGAUUGGCCCGCGUUGGAUUAGGUAGUUGGUGGGGUAAUGGCCUACCAAGCCGACGGUCCAUAGCUGGUUUGAGAGGAUGAUCAGCCACACUGGGACUGAGACACGGCCCAGACUCCUACGGGAGGCAGCAGUGGGGAAUUUUAGACAAUGGGGGAAACCCUGAUCUAGCCAUGCCGCGUGAUCGAUGAAGGCCUUAGGGUUGUAAAGAUCUUUCAGGUGGGUAGAUAAUGACUGUACCACCAGAAGAAGCCCCGGCUAACUCCGUGCCAGCCGCCGCGGUAA
rnacentral:rRNA from 1 species